CCUACGGGUGGCUGCAGUCGAGAAUCUUCGGCAAUGGGCGCAAGCCUGACCGAGCGACGCCGCGUGCGGGAUGAAGGCCUUCGGGUUGUAAACCGCUGUCGAGGGGAAUGAAGUGCAGGUGGGUUCUCCCAUCUGUUUGACAGAUCCCUGGAGGAAGCAUGGGCUAAGUUCGUGCCAGCAGCCGCGGUAAGACGAACCAUGCAAACAUUAUUCGGAAUCACUGGGUUGGAGGCGUUGUUAGUCGGUUUUGAAAGCCCUCAGCCCAACUGAGGAAUUGCGCUUGAUACUGCAUGACUAGAGAAUGAUAGAGGUGGGUGGAACUGAUGGUGGAGCGGUGAAAUGCGUUGAUAUCAGCAGGAACACCAGUGGCGAAGGCGACCCACUGGGUCAUUUCUGACGCUGAGGUACGAAAGCUAGGGUAGCGAACGGGAUUAGAUACCCCAGUAGUC
rnacentral:rRNA from 1 species